rnacentral:rRNA from 1 species
AUGUACGUCUCUAAUUUCUCCCUCCAAAUGUGUUGGCCCAUGUGGUUGCAUUUUCUAUUUUUUUUCGUUUUGGAUAUACAAAAAAGGUUAUUGAAGCUCAAAUGUGAUAAGCACAUAAGUUCAGAUUUCCAAUGCUACAAAGUUCACGUAUACCUCUCUGUUUUAAUCGUGGCAUACAAAUUUUGCACUACGAGAAAGUUCAGAGGCAAGAGCGUAGAAAAUAAAGAACACAAAAAUAUCAACAAAAAAUUCACUAGGAGAAAAGUUAGUCAGGAUAUGCAAGAAAAACUCUUAUUUUAUUUCAUUUCAAAUUCAAAUUCUAGUUAA